rnacentral:rRNA from 1 species
UACGUAGGUGGCAAGCGUUGUCCGGAAUUAUUGGGCGUAAAGCGCGCGCAGGCGGCCUCUUAAGUCUGAUGUGAAAGCCCCCGGCUCAACCGGGGAGGGCCAUUGGAAACUGGGAGGCUUGAGUAUAGGAGAGAAGAGUGGAAUUCCACGUGUAGCGGUGAAAUGCGUAGAGAUGUGGAGGACACCAGUGGCGAAGGCGACUCUUUGGCCUAUAACUGACGCUGAGGCGCGAAAGCGUGGGGAGCAAACAGG